rnacentral:rRNA from 1 species
AACGAACGCUGGCGGCAUGCCUAACACAUGCAAGUCGAACGGUAAGGCCCUUUCGGGGUACACGAGCGGCGAACGGGUGAGUAACACGUGGGUGACCUGCCCUCAGCUCUGGGAUAAGCCUGGGAAACCGGGUCUAAUACUGGAUAUGACUCCAUGACGCAUGUUGUGGGGUGGAAAGCCUUGUGCGGCUGAGGAUGGGCCCGCGGCCUAUCAGCUUGUUGGUGGGGUGANGGCCUACCAAGGCGACGACGGGUAGCCGGCCUGAGAGGGCGACCGGCCACACUGGGACUGAGACACGGCCCAGACUCCUACGGGAGGCAGCAGUGGGGAAUCUUGCGCAAUGGGCGAAAGCCUGACGCAGCGACGCCGCGUGAGGGAUGACGGCCU